CCGCCUUUUGUGUUAGAGAUAAUAUGGGAGCCACUCCUCAGGCACUUUAAAGUGUCCCAGUUCGAGGUGUAUGAUGGGACCCCCAACCCCAUUGAUCAUUUGGAGACCUUCAAGAUGGCAAUGCUCCUUCAAAAAGUGACAGAUGCCAUCCUCUAUUGAGCAUUCCCUGCUAUUCUUAAAGGGACUGCUCGAUAGUGGUAUUCAAACUAGGGGUGGCAAUUUGAUCGGAUCGGAUAUAAACGGGUCGGGUCAUCUACGGGUUGCAUCAAAAAACUCUAAACUCAGAUCCGAUCUGUUUAUUAAACAUGUCUGAUUUUAAAACUCGAACUUGACCUAUUUAAUAAAUAGGUUAUCCGACUCGACCUAUUUACAACCUAUUUUUUUAAAAAAAUAAAGAAAAAAAAAUCUGCUUCGUCCAACCAUGAAAAAAAAUCUUGCUCCUCCACCCAACUACCUCUACAUAUCUUCACCCUCACGGGCCUCACUUGCUUCACCCGACCGCGCUUCUCUACAUCUCCUCUUUCGUCUAGGGAAUCCCCCAGUGGCGCUCCUCGCUGCAGCCUCGACCGAAGGAGAUCUGGUGACCGUAGUUGUCAGAGCUCCCUAUGCUCCUCUUCUAUCCAGAAAAUCCCCCGAUGGUGCUCCUUGCUGUGGCCCCAACCGAAGGAUCUGGUGACUCACUGGCGGCACCAGUGCUCUUGCCCAUGUCGUCGCCAUCUCACUUGCCGGGUGUCUCCACCUCCCCGCACUCGAUCAUCUC
rnacentral:lncRNA from 1 species